rnacentral:lncRNA from 11 species
AUGGGCAUGAUCCUGCAGGUUGCCCAGUCUAACCUGCUACUCAGACUUCUAAGGGACAAAAAGAAAGAAAAAAAGUUCAUGGGACAACUGAAAUGGUUGCCAUGAUGGGAACAGCUACAAUAUUAUGAAUCACAGAUUCCUUCCCUAUCAAGAACAUUCAGUGAGGCAUGGCAACGGUAUAUGACAUGUGAGUCCAAGUGCCUUUUCUUACACACAUAUAUAGGCAUGCACAAUCCAUAA